GACGAACGCUGGCGGCGUGCCUAAUACAUGCAAGUAGAACGCUGAAGGAGGAGCUUGCUCUUCUGGAUGAGUUGCGAACGGGUGAGUAACGCGUAGGUAACCUGCCUGGUAGCGGGGGAUAACUAUUGGAAACGAUAGCUAAUACCGCAUAAGAGUAGAUGUUGCAUGACAUUUACUUAAAAGGUGCAAUUGCAUCACUACCAGAUGGACCUGCGUUGUAUUAGCUAGUUGGUGGGGUAACGGCUUACCAAGGCGACGAUACAUAGCCGACCUGAGAGGGUGAUCGGCCACACUGGGACUGGGACACGGCCCAGACUCCUACGGGAGGCAGAAGUAGGGAAUCUUCGGCAAUGGACGGAAGUCUGACCGAGCAACGCCGCGUGAGUGAAGAAGGUUUUCGGAUCGUAAAGCUCUGUUGUAAGAGAAGAACGAGUGUGAGAGUGGAAAGUUCACACUGUGACGGUAUCUUACCAGAAAGGGACGGCUAACUACGUG
rnacentral:rRNA from 1 species